rnacentral:rRNA from 1 species
AGUGAACGCUGGCGGUAGGCCUAACACAUGCAAGUCGAACGGCAGCACAGUAAUAGCUUGCCCUUACGGGUGGCGAGUGGCGGACGGGUGAGGAAUACAUCGGAAUCUACUUUUUCGUGGGGGAUAACGUAGGGAAACUUACGCUAAUACCGCAUACGACCUACGGGUGAAAGCAGGGGAUCUUCGGACCUUGCGCGAUUGAAUGAGCCGAUGUCGGGUUAGCUAGUUGGCGGGGUAAAGGCCCACCAAGGCGACGAUCCGUAGCUGGUCUGAGAGGCUGAUCAGCCACACUGGAACUGAGACACGGUCCAGACUCCUACGGGAGGCAGCAGUGGGGAAUAUUGGACAAUGGGCGCAAGCAUGAUCCAGCCAUACCGCGUGGGUGACGAAGGCCUUCGGGUUGUAAAGCCCUUUUGUUGGGAAAGAAAAGCAGCAGGUUAAUACCCCGCUGUUCUGACGGUACCCAAAGAAUAAGCACCGGCUAACUUCGUG